AUGCUGUCAGUGAACUUGAGUCUGUUUGUCACUUUGUUUCUGUUCACAAUAAGAGAGUGUAAAGCAGAAGACAAAGUGACACAGCCACCAGAAGAUGUCUUUGCUGCUGAAGGAGACACAGUUACACUGGACUGUACUUUUGAGACCAGUUCCAUAACUCCUAAUUUGUUCUGGUACAAACAGGAAGUAAAUGGCUUUCCAAAGUACAUUUUAAAACGUGGUAGUUAUGGAGAAGAUAAUGCUCCAGAAUUCCAUAAAGACAGAUUUGAUGCUCAAGUCAACAAGACAUCAGUUCCUCUGAAGAUCCAGAAGCUCCAGCUGUCAGACUCUGCUGUGUACUACUGUGCUCUGCAGCCCACAAAUCAGGGAGAGCCUCCUGAGCCUGACGUCCUCCCCACCCCUCGGUUCUCCCCUCCACUGGUUUCACGCGCCACGACACCUUCCCCCGGAGUACGGAUUCCCCCCUCACACUGGAGCACACCGCUGGAGUCUCUGGAAACCCUCUCACCUCCUCCACGAAGACCAGCGUGCACCGGCACUCGCCCCUCCUGCUUCCUUGGUGUCUUCACUCCUGUCCUGCAAUAA